ACCUUAAAGGAGGCUGCUCUUUGAAGAAAACCAUACUCAACCACCCACUCAUGAAAUACAGCUCAUUUUUAUGUUUUGAAACCAGGAGAUCACUGGGGUGUUAAAUUAGCUGCAAGAACUGCUCCAGGCUUCCAAGUCUGUAGGAGAAACAUGCUAAUGAGGACUGAAGGAAAUUAAUGGAAGAGAGUCCAGGACGCUGGGAGAGAAGUUCAGCAAUGCUUCCUAUGUGCGGGAUCUUCAGAGAAGCAGCUUCAAGCAGCCAAGAGCUCCUGAGUGAAAUAGACUGUUCUGCUCUUCACACUUAAGCACUUCCUUCUGAUGCUCGGGUCUGAAAUCUCCUGAAGGUAACAUGAGCAUCUGAGGUUCUAAUACAGGAAUGGGGGAGAGUAAGAAGAGGCCCUCAACACCCCUAAACCUGUACCCCUUAAGACUAUAUAAUAAGAAGAAAGACAUGUGUUAUUAUAUAAAUUCUGACUUGAGUACAGAAGAUGAGUCAAAUGUCAAGUUUUCAACAAUCCCCACCGUCUACCCAGAUCAAAUGUCUCACUUUAUACGUGAAAAACUAAGGCACAGAAAGACUAAGGAUGAUCUCUGAACACAAGCAUCCUGGUUUGUGACUCUCUUGAGACUUGAAUUUGUGCCUAGGCAUAUUGAUGGCAACGAAGAGGCUCACAGGGGUUUGACAUGGAUGCUCAUGCUAUUCCAGUGGUGCCUGUGACCAGAGGGUAGUAAUUUCAAUGAGAGUGACCCGGGGACCAUGAAUCAUGCCUUUAUUUGUAUUAUUGUAUCCAGUCAAUUGGGUCUGAUAGACAUCUAUUGAAUGCCUGCUAUCCAAGAGCCUUGGAGAUGUCAUGGUUGAUCAAGGGAGACAAAUGACCGAUACGCAAACAAAUAAAUGUUAUCCAGGGUAAUAAAUGUUGAGCAAAGUGCUAAGGGAACAGUGACAGGGGACAGUUUAUUCUGCCCAGGCACAGGAAAGUGAGGAGGCAUUCUUCAGACAGUGGGGAAGCAUGCCAAGUUUGUUUGUUUGGUGAGAUGUGUUUCUAUUUGAGUUGCCUCUUUGAAUGAUAGAGUAUCUAUGAAGAAAAAAGAUGGUGUGAUAUCGUAAACAAAAACAGGCCCCAG
rnacentral:lncRNA from 1 species